GCUAGGGGCGGAAGCGGGAAGGCGGGGCUAAGCCCGACAAGGGAGCGGAAGAGGCCCGGGCGGCUGGGUGAGGCGCGGAGACGGUUUGGCGGUGAGUCCUGGGCCCGGAGCAGCUGAAAGCUUCGGAAUCGGGGAGACGCCAGAACCAGCGGAAGGACUUGGGAUUCCGGGGCAGUCGCCGCUGCCGCUGCUGCUGCUUCUGCCGCCGCGAACGCCGCCGCUGCUGCCGAAGGACGCGGCCCUAAGAGGCCUUGUAGGCCUAGGUGCGGCCCGCGGAGCCUGACGUGUUGUUACCGUGAGUAAAGCGAGCGCCCUCUCCACAGUCGCUUACGCAGUAAAAUGGAGGAGAUUUCGUUGGCCAACCUGGAUACUAACAAGCUAGAGGCCAUCGCGCAGGAGAUUUACGUAGACCUGAUAGAGGAUUCUUGUUUGGGAUUCUGCUUUGAGGUGCACCGGGCAGUCAAGUGCGGCUACUUCUACCUGGAGUUCGCAGAGACUGGGAGCGUGAAGGAUUUUGGCAUUCAGCCCGUGGAAGACAAAGGCGCGUGCCGCCUCCCGCUCUGCUCCCUUCCCGGAGAGCCUGAGAAUGGGCCCGAUCAGCAGCUGCAGCGCUCACCUCCGGAAUUCCAGUAGCUGCAACAUGAGAGCGUCUGAGAGUGACCAGGAGAAUGACAUAGACUGGUCCUGUGGCUUGGAGGAGUAAGCUAAGUCAGCUCUGCAGCCAGGGGCAGGAGUUGCUGCACUGCCUGUGUGCAGUGCAUUGUGUGUAUAUAUCUAAACACACGAGGAUGUGCCCAAGAUCCUGUAGUGCCCCUGUUUCGCAGGUGAGCGGUGUGUUACCGGCAUGGAAAAUUUUCUGUUACUCUGCCUGAUGUCAGGGGCUUCCUGGACAUGGUGGACAUUACUAAAUUGGUCAAAGCUAUAAUCAGUGGCCUAAGUGGGACUGCUCUUCUGAUCUCUGAGCCUCUGAUUAGGGCUUCUUUGAGAUAAAUGAAAAAGUCAGAUGUGAGAUCUGUAUGCUGACAAUUUCGAUUUGAGAAAACCAAGAAAAAGAAUUUCCAACCAGAAUUGGUAGGGAAACGCUGUAGCCUUGAGUUCAACAAGAAGAAAAGAUAAAAACCACCGGUUUCUCAAAGGUCCAGCUUUUACAGUGAUUCCAACCAGUCUGAGGACUAGGCCUAUCCUUUGGCUGAGUAGAGCCCUCUCUUGCCCUCGCAUCUGGUGGCAUAGGCUUGCAAAUGUACAAUUUUGUUGUCCAAGCAGGCUGAGGAUUCAGUUUUGAUCCCCUGGAGAAGUAGCAGGGACCUCUGCAACUAUGCACGAUUUCUCAAACUGCAAGAUUCAUAUCUGGAUGUAUUCUGUGGAUAUAAGUUUAUUGGGCAGUCAUUUUCUGAAUUACUGGUAACCUAACCAGUCCAUGGGUGUGACUUGGUCAUUAUGCCAGGUCACUAUCUGCCUCCCACUCCAGGGGCAGGCCUGAACUAUAGAAGAGAAUCAUGACUGUGUAACAGGCUAUGAUUUGAAAACUGAGCCUAGAGGGGACCUCUUCCAACUGCCCUCAGUAAUGUGAAUGGGUUAGUGCUAGGAGCCAAGGAGCAGGACUGGGCCAUCUCUCAUCUGACUGUGUGCAGAAAUAAUCCUGUUGAAUGCCCCUGUUUCUUUUGUUGGUCUGUCAGAGCUCUGCUAUGGUGAACAUCCAGACUGUCACCACAUUCUCUUCCCAUCACAGAGGACAGUCCAUUCCACUAGGUUCCCUUUGGAUCUUCUUGACAACAAGAGCUGUCCUUUUAUUGUUUGGAGACAGAGACGGACCUCCAGAAUUUCCUGGCGUCAGGGAAUGGGAUAGGGGAAAAUGGAAAGUGACAGCCACAUAUCAAAACUACACUUUACUCCCUGAGCGAGGGUUUGUGAAGCAUAGCGGGGUGGGAACCCCACAGUGAAUGGGAACGGUGCUGCUUUAUUUGAAAUGUUUUCUUACCUCAUUCUGUGCCCCAGUAAGGGGCCCAGCCUCAUCUGUCUGGCUUGGCCCCAUGUUCCUCUUGUCCCCUGCCCCACUGCCUAUCUGGUGCAGCUCACAACCCCAGGUGCUGCUUGCCACUCCAGCUUUCACAUUGACCAGUUUCAAUUCAUCUCUCUUAGUGCUCAUGCUUCUGAAACUUGCCCAGUUUUCUUUCCCUUGGCUUCCUUCAAGUAUUUUGUUUUUCUUUUCCUAUUUUUGUAGAAGACUUAAGAAUCUUUAUUAUGGCUUUCUCUGUUGGGAUUGGAAUUGGAAGAAAACAUAAUUUUUUGUAUUUAAAAGGCAGUUUAAUACGUAAGCAUUUUUCCUGUAUAAGACUGCCUUGCUAGUGUGCUCUCCCUGCUGUAUCUUACUUCAUGAGGAAUUAUAUCUUCUUGCCUCUACUUGGAUACUGCCUCUUAGGACCUAAGCAGAAGAGCAGUAAAAGCAGACGUACAUAGGGAUGGAGUUGGUCCGGCUCUAUCCAUUCUCUAACCCUUGCUGUGCAAUUACUCUUCCAUUUCCCAGAAGGAACUAUUUGGACUGUAUGGGUUGACUUCGGUUAUGUACUAGAGAGGGUUAAGAAUACCAUAGAGCUUGGGCCUUGAGACUGUCUAUUAGUGCUUUAUCUUCCUAGGGUUGUCUUGAUUAGGGUCUAGGUCUAGUUACAGAUUGGUCUUCAACUGAAGAAUUGUAAUAACUUUUUAAAAAGUCAGACCUUUGCAGGAGCUAGAGUAAUGUUGGGUUAUCUUUGCCCUUGACUUUUUGUAGGCAUGUAAGAGGAUAUAGAGGGAAAGGAGGGUCUAAGUGAGACUGUGACCUACUUCCUGACAAUGUCUUGGAAGCUGGAUGAAGGUAAGGGACAAGAGCCAUGGUCUAAUCAUUCUUUUAGCUAGGGAAUGCAGAUCAUGAUAUUACUGUUUUCUUUCUGGCCUUUUCUCUUGGUUAGAGGAGGAAGUGGGACAUAGUUUAGAAUAAUGAUUUGUUUGCAUUACCUCCCAACCUUUCUGUGUGUAUGUGUGUGUGUGUGUGUGUGUGUGUGUGUGUGUGUGUCCCCGUGUCCCUCUAUCAAUAGGGCAGUAGCCCCCCCUCCUGCCCUGGGUGGAUGUAGGUGGGCUUGGUCCAGCAGAUGCCCUGAGGGUACAGGCUCUUUGGGGGAGAAAAUGCUCCCUACCAUGUAGUUGACAGUGUUUAGGAACUCUCCCUUUCCCUACCUACCUUUCCUCUAACAACAGAAUCCUAUUCUCUCCUCUUCAAUUAAGUGUAUUGAUCACCUUGUAAUCCUUUAUGUAUCUGAGUGUGUGUGUGUGUGUGUGUGUGUGUGUGUGUGUGUGUGUGUGUAAAACGGGAAAAGGGGGUUCUUUAAAAUUUUACGUGGUUUGUGGCUUUUUCUUUCAUUAAUUCCCACCACCACCGCAUGCCCAGGGACCACUGCCUGGCAUUAUCGCAUGCUGGGAUCAUUGGGGGGAGGGUUGUGAAGCUCACCACUGUCCUUUGUUUUGGAGAUAAUUAUUUUUGCAUAAGUAGUACAUCCUAUACAGAUAGCUGACUAACUGUGUAUUCCCCUUGCCCCUAUGGCUGCUGGUGUAAAUAAGUUGCAUCUCCCCAUUGGUAAACAGUAAGAAUAAACAAAAUUUUAAAAAAUGA